GCAAGUCGAGCGCGAAAGAAUUCUUCGGAGUUCGAGUAGAGCGGCGAACGGGUGAGUAACACGUGAAUAACCUGCCCUCUAAUUGGGGAUAACCAUUCUAACGGAUGGCUAAUACCGAAUAUUGUGGAGUAAUGCAUAUUACUUUGACUAAAGGCUUCGGCCGUUAGAGGAUGGAUUCGCGUCGCAUUAGCUAGUUGGUAAGGUAAUGGCUUACCAAGGCAACGAUGCGUAGCCGGCCUGAGAGGGUGAUC
rnacentral:rRNA from 1 species